UUGAACGCUGGCGGCAUGCCUUACACAUGCCCGUCGAACGGUAACAGGUCUUCGGAUGCUGACGAGUGGCGACCGGGUGAGUAAUACAUCGGAACGUGCCCAGACGUGGGGGAUAACGAGGCGAAAGCUUUGCUAAUACCGCAUACGAUCUAAGGAUGAAAGCAGGGGACCGCAAGGCCUUGCGCGUUUGGAGCGGCCGAUGGCAGAUUAGGUAGUUGGUGGGAUAAAAGCUUACCAAGCCGACGAUCUGUAGCUGGUCUGAGAGGACGACCAGCCACACUGGGACUGAGACACGGCCCAGACUCCUACGGGAGGCAGCAGUGGGGAAUUUUGGACAAUGGGCGAAAGCCUGAUCCAGCAAUGCCGCGUGCAGGAUGAAGGCCUUCGGGUUGUAAACUGCUUUUGUACGGAACGAAAAGGCUCUGGCUAAUACCUGGGGCACAUGACGGUACCGUAAGAAUAAGCACCGGCUAACUACGU
rnacentral:rRNA from 1 species